UGGGGAAUAUUGCACAAUGGGCGCAAGCCUGAUGCAGCCAUGCCGCGUGGGUGAAGAAGGCCUUCGGGUUGUAAAGCACUUUCAGCGAGGAGGAAGGGUAGUGUGUUAAUAGCACAUUGCAUUGACGUUACUCGCAGAAGAAGCACCGGCUAACUCCGUGCCAGCAGCCGCGGUAAUACGGAGGGUGCAAGCGUUAAUCGGAAUUACUGGGCGUAAAGCGCACGCAGGCGGUUUGUUAAGUCAGAUGUGAAAUCCCCGCGCUUAACGGGGGAACUGCAUUUGAAACUGGCAAGCUAGAGUCUUGUAGAGGGGGGUAGAAUUCCAGGUGUAGCGGUGAAAUGCGUAGAGAUCUGGAGGAAUACCGGUGGCGAAGGCGGCCCCCUGGACAAAGACUGACGCUCAGGUGCGAAAGCGUGGGGAGCAAACA
rnacentral:rRNA from 1 species